CCUACGGGUGGCAGCAGUGAGGAAUAUUGGUCAAUGGACGGAAGUCUGAACCAGCCAUGCCGCGUGCAGGAAGACGGCUCUAUGAGUUGUAAACUGCUUUUGUACAAGGGUAAACCUGAAUACGUGUAUUCAGCUGAAAGUACUGUACGAAUAAGGAUCGGCUAACUCCGUGCCAGCAGCCGCGGUAAUACGGAGGAUCCAAGCGUUAUCCGGAUUUAUUGGGUUUAAAGGGUGCGUAGGCGGAUUGAUAAGUUAGAGGUAAAAUGUCCGAGCUUAACUCGGGAACUGCCUCAAUACUGUUGAGCUAGAGAGUAGAUGCGGUAGGCAGAAUGUAUGGUGUAGCGGUGAAAUGCUUAGAGAUCAUACAGAACACCGAUUGCGAAGGCAGCUUACCAAUCUAUAUCUGACGUUGAGGCACGAAAGCGUGGGGAGCAAACAGGAUUAGAUACCCUGGUAGUC
rnacentral:rRNA from 1 species